rnacentral:rRNA from 1 species
CAAGAUUAAAACUCAAAGGAAUAGACGGGGACCCGCACAAGCGGUGGAGCAUGUGGUUUAAUUCGACGAUACGCGAAGAACCUUACCUGGCCUUGACAUAGAAAGAACUUACUAGAGAUAGUUUGGUGCUAGCUUGCUAGAACUUUCAUACAGGUGCUGCACGGCUGUCGUCAGCUCGUGUCGUGAGAUGUUGGGUUAAGUCCCGCAACGAGCGCAACCCUCGUGUUUAGUUACUAACAGUUCGGCUGAGGACUCUAGACAGACUGCCUGGGUAACCAGGAGGAAGGUGAGGACGACGUCAAGUCAUCAUGGCCCUUACGGCCAGGGCUACACACGUGCUACAAUGGGGUAUACAAAGAGCCGCAAUACCGCGAGGUGGAGCAAAUCUCAUAAAAUAUCUCCCAGUUCGGAUUGAAGUCUGCAACUCGACUUCAUGAAGUUGGAAUCGCUAGUAAUCGUGAAUCAGCAAUGUCACGGUGAAUACGUUCCCGGGUCUUGUACUCACCGCCC